AUGAGCGAGCGCCUCCGCCCCAGAAAAAGGAGAAGAAAUGGCAGUGAUGAUGACAACCACCCUCCUCCCCAGACCAAAAGGAGCAGUAGGAACCCCAUCUUCCAGGACUCCUGGGACACAGAGUCUUCAAGCAGCGACAGUAGUGGGAGCAGCAGCAGCAGCAGCAUCAACAGCCCAGACAGGGCCAGUGGGCCAGAGAGCAGCCUGAGCCACACCAUCCCCGGAUCCUGCCCCAGCACCCCCACACACACGCCCCCCAGCCGAUGCCUGAGCAGUCUGCACUAUGCCAAGGCCCUUACUUCCACAUCAACCAGACCCUGAAGGAGGCUCACUUUCAUAGCCUACAGCACCGAGGCCAGCCGCCGACA
rnacentral:lncRNA from 1 species